rnacentral:rRNA from 1 species
AGUGAACGCUGGCGGUAUGCCUAACACAUGCAAGUCGAACGGCAGCACAGUAAGAGCUUGCCCUUACUGUUGGCGAGUGGCGGACGGGUGAGGAAUACAUCGGAAUCUACUUUUUCGUGGGUGAUAACGUAGGGCAACUUACGCUAAUACCUCAUACGACCUACGGGUGAAAGCAGGGGAUCUUCGGACCUUUCCCGAUUCAAUGAGCCGAUGUCGGAUUAGCUAGUUGGCGGGGUAAAGGCCCACCAAGGCGACGAUACGUAGCUGGUCUGAGAGGAUGAUCAGCCACACUGGAACUGAGACACGGUCCAGACUCCUACGGGAGGCAGCAGUGGGGAAUAUUGGACAAUGGGCGAAAGCCUGAUCCAGCAAUACCGCGUGAGUGAAGAAGGCCUUCGGGUUGUAAAGCCCUUUUGUUGGGAAAGAAAAGAAGCAGGUUAAUACCCCGCUGUUCUGACGGUACCCAAAGAAUAAGCCCCGGCUAACUUCGUG